UAAUACGAAGGUGGCAAGCGUUACUCGGAAUUACUAGGCGUAAAGGGCAGGUAGGUGGUUUGAUAAGUCUGUUGUGAAAGCUCCCGGCUUAACUGGGAGAGGUCAACAGAAACUAUCAGGCUUGAGUAUGGGAGAGGGUACUGGAAUUCCCGGUGUAGCGGUGAAAUGCGCAGAGAUCGGGAGGAACACCUAUGGCGAAAGCAGGUACCUGGACCAUUACUGACACUCAGCUGCGAAAGCUAGGGGAGCAAACAGGAUUAGAUACCCUGGUAGUCCUAGCCGUAAACGAUGCACAUUAGACGUGAGGGGUAUCGACCCCCUUCGUGUCGACGCAAACGCAUUAAAUGUGCCGCCUGGGGAGUACGGCCGCAAGGUUG
rnacentral:rRNA from 1 species